rnacentral:rRNA from 1 species
AUACGGAGGGUGCAAGCGUUAAUCGGAAUUACUGGGCGUAAAGCGCACGCAGGCGGUCAAUUAAGUCAGAUGUGAAAGCCCCGAGCUUAACUUUGGAAUUGCAUCUGAAACUGGUUGGCUAGAGUCUUGUAGAGGGGGGUAGAAUUCCACGUGUAGCGGUGAAAUGCGUAGAGAUGUGGAGGAAUACCGGUGGCGAAGGCGGCCCCCUGGACAAAGACUGACGCUCAGGUGCGAAAGCGUGGGGAGCAAUCAGGAUUAGAUACCCUGGUAGUCCACGCUGUAAACGAUGUCGAUUUAGAGGUUGUGGUCUUGAACUGUGGCUUCUGGAGCUAACGCGUUAAAUCGACCGCCUGGGGAGUACGGCCGCAAGGUUAAAACUCAAAUGAAUUGACGGGG